ensembl:miRNA Mir5046 microRNA 5046
UCCUAGCUCCCGCCACUGUGACCCCCUUACCUUUAGGAGCUCCGAUCCGGGAGCCUGGU